rnacentral:lncRNA from 1 species
CACUCUCUCUUUGUGGUUCCUCAGCUGCUACACCUCUCUCUCCUUUCAUACACUUGCAAUGAUGUGUACUGACUGGAACUGCACUCUAAUAAUCUUUUAAAGCCAAAAAAAUGCCAUAUAUAAAUUAUACACCAUUAAUGCCGGAGCUGAAUUUAGUCCUAGGCAGACUCUCCCAGCUCACUUUGUUUCCUGAAAUGUCUCCGUGGCACAGAUAAGAAGAUCCAUACCCGGAGUUCUGGGGAUGGGACAAGCUAAGUGCUCAGGAUCCUGGAUUCAGAUAGAUGAAAGAUACCCCCAGAAAACAAACAGAAAGGGACCCUCUCUGCAUGCCACAGGCAAAGUCCUCUGGAGAAACGAGACCAGAGACAGCAUGAUGCAGAUGGCAGACAGAAGAGAAAAUUCUGAGAUUUUGUAUGUUGAACACACACAUAGAUUGUCCAGCUGCUGCCAACUUCUCAUUAGGAGGUACUUACCAGCUACUUGUAAAUUCAGUGCUUGUUUCAGAACUGAACAGAAGCCCAGAGCUGUGAAGAGUUAUGAGCUCCUGAUCCCAGGUACAAAGCUCAGCACAGUUCUUUUCCAGCCACUCCUAGACCACCUUACACACGCC